rnacentral:rRNA from 1 species
AACCCAAAUUAACCAUUCCCCGGCGUAAAAUGUGUUAUCAAGGACCUAAAAUAGAAUUAAAACUCAAUCAAUAUGUGAAAAUUCAUCGUUGAAACUAAAGUCAGUGACGAAAGUAAUUCUAAUCUCCCUAAUACACGAUAGCUAAGAUCCAAACUGGGAUUAGAUACCCCACUAUGCUUAGCCCUAAACCUUAAUAGUUCUUAAACAAAACUAUUUGCCCGAGAACUACUGGCCAUGGCUUAAAACUCAAAGGACUUGGCGGUACUUUAUAUCCAUCUAGAGGAGCCUGUUCUAUAAUCGAUAUACCCCGUUAUACCUUACCACUUCUUGCUAAUU